rnacentral:tRNA from 1 species
UGGGAGGUUGUGUAACGGUAGCACACGAGCCUUUGGAGCUCGGCGUUCAGGUUCGAAUCCUGGCCUCCCAGCCA